rnacentral:rRNA from 1 species
CGCGUGAGGAACCUGCCUUGAAGAGGGGGACAACAGUUGGAAACGACUGCUAAUACCGCAUGAAGCAUAGGGGUCGCAUGAUCUUUAUGCCAAAGAUUUAUCGCUUCAAGAUGGCCUCGCGUCUGAUUAGCUAGUUGGCGGGGUAACGGCCCACCAAGGCGACGAUCAGUAGCCGGACUGAGAGGUUGAACGGCCACAUUGGGACUGAGAUACGGCCCAG